UACGUAGGGGGCAAGCGUUGUCCGGAUUUAUCGGGCGUAAAGAGCGUGUAGGCGGCCAGACAGGUCCGUUGUGAAAACUCGAGGCUCAACCUCGAGACGCCGAUGGAAACCGUCUGGCUAGAGUCCGGAAGAGGAGAGUGGAAUUCCUGGUGUAGCGGUGAAAUGCGCAGAUAUCAGGAAGAACACCCGUGGCUAAGGCGGCUCUCUAGUACGGUACUGACGCUGAGACGCGAAAGCGUGGGGAGCGAACAGG
rnacentral:rRNA from 1 species